AUGCAUUAGUAGCAAAACUAACAUACCAAUUUGUUGUGAGUAUCAAUACAACAUAGUUGCAGCUUUCAUGGCUAGAGGGUGUAUGUUUCCUAGAUACCUGAUGGAUAUGUGCCAACCACCACUUGUUCGUGAAACACAAUUGUCCUAUUAUGCACCGAAACAAAGAAGAAUCGAUGAAGACUUUUGACAGCAACACUGAGUUACAGGCACCGAAAAAAGAUCACAAGCUGAUAAGAUAUAUUAGCAUACUUUCUGAAUGAAGGGUACAUAACUAGUUCAAUUGUCAGAUAAAUAUAAAAAUUUGAUUGUUAAUAUGAUAUAAAUUUAUAGGCACACACAACCUUAUCAAAGCUUUAUCCAUAGUUACCAUUUUAAUUUGGAGAAAAUACAUCGGAGGAAAUUCAGAGCACCAUAAGUUCUAAAUUAAAAAAUGCUUAACUAGUUGUCUGGCUGGCUAAUUACACCUAACAAAAAUCAUCAUCAUCAUAAUGUCUUCAAAAAGAAAAAACAGUAUGUCGAAACCAAUAUAAGUGGUACAUUGAAUUCAUUCCAUUGUAGAUGGAAAAAGAAUUUAUAGCAGCAACAUCAAACAUUGAAAAAAAUAGUUCUAACAAUUGAAAAAGUAUUGCACCUUGAAGCUAGUACUAUAUGAUUUACUCAACUUAUUCACACAUAGAUCAUGCACAAGGAAAGUAUAAAUCCUCAUAUCACAACAUUAAAGUGGGACUCAAAUUGAUGCAACCAAUUUCCUGUGUUGCAAUUUAGGAUAAAGUUACUUCCCUAUAUAACCUAUACCAAUGAUUGGUUACUUCCUAUUACCUACAAACUAAAGCAAGUUACUUCCAAUCUAAUUUAAAUACAUGACAAGUUACUUCCUUAAUGUUCAAAAUAAGAGACGAUUUACUUGCAAUGUUAUGUAAAUAAUCAAUUAGUUACUUCUUAUGUAGUUCAAAUCAGAUACAAGGUACGUCCUAACUAAAACAAACAAGUAAGUUACUUUGUUUAUCUUGUGAAUUUGUGAUUAAUUACUUCAUAUUUUUUGUAAAAAAACUAUGAGUUAAAUCCUAUGUCAGAUUUGCACUGACAAGUUACUUCCUACCUCAAAAUAGAAAGGAGAACGAGGAAGCACCUGCAUCUGCAGCUACAGGCGAGCUCUAGACUAGUGGGCAAACCAAAAACAACAUGAUUCAUGGACUGAUCGAAUUCUAAUGACUGUUUUGCUAGGAGAAUGAACAUGAUUCAUACAAAAAGGGGAGCUACUAACUAGCAUAAGCAAAAGAAAAAAUGACUGCAACUUGAACAUAGUAAUACAUAUUCCGCUCAAUGCAUUUGACAUGUAAAAUCAUGCAGCAACAAUACCAGUGCUAGAACUGAAGGGAAUAGGGACCGGAUGGAGCGCAGAACAUGUCUCCCCCACAAUUUAUCCUUUUAAUUUUAGAAACUGAUAAUUAAUGCAUAUAAGCUGUCCAGAUUAUAAAACUAAUCCUCGAGGGUGUUCUGGUGUGACAAGCCUGUAGCUACAACUACGAUCAUGUAUAGAGGGAUCUGCUGGGAAAUCUAACACAUAAUAACCUCAGAAGAAAAAUAUCUAGUUGAAUAUAGAGGAUGUGCUGCAUACACAAAACGUUUGGGAGGAAGGGAGUGGCAAGCAUUCGCAGGACCCCCUCGUCAACGAUGCUCCCUAUCGUGUCAGCGCGUCAACGGCGCCGCGUACCGCGAUGGGUCCGUCAGCCUUCAUCCUCCCGCAAUGGAUCCGCCUCCAGCAACGGCUCCGACUUCCAACAAAGCCUCCGCGUCCUGCGAUGGUGCCGCCUGCAACAUCUCCGCCUCCUACGAAGGCUCCACCUCCGCGACGGCGCCGCCUCCCGCAACAGCUCCACCACACCUUGCUUCCGUGUGAGGACUCACGAGAUCCAAACCACGGACUAGCCAAGACGGCGUAACGCCUGGGCCCUGGCCCUAGCCCAUAUUGCCAUGGUUGUGGUGUGGGCCAUUGUGCCAUACUGAGACCCAGUCCAAGGCGAAGCUAAGUCAGCAUCUCCUAUAGAAAGAUCGGCCAGCAACAGUAGAAACGAAUAGAAAUCAUAUCGGAGAAAAUCCCCCAAUUAGUCAUCUUCCUCGGGAAGAAGCGGCCAGGUGAGCUCCUGGAUCUCCUCACAC
rnacentral:lncRNA from 1 species